GAUGAACGCUAGCUACAGGCUUAACACAUGCAAGUCGAGGGGUAGCAGGGUAGCAAUACCGCUGACGACCGGCGCACGGGUGAGUAACACGUAUCCAACCUUCCCAUAACUCGGGGAUAGCCUUUCGAAAGAAAGAUUAAUACCCGCUAGUACUUUUUCAAGGCAUCUUGAGAAAGUUAAAGAUUUAUUGGUUAUGGAUGGGGAUGCGUUCCAUUAGAUAGUUGGUGAGGUAACGGCUCACCAAGUCUUCGCUGGGUAGGGGUUCUGAGAGGAAGGUCCCCCACAUUGGUACUGAGACACGGACCAACAUCCUAGGGGAGGCAGCAGUGAGGAAUAUUAGUCAAUGGGCGAGAGCCUGAACCAGCCAAGUAGCGUGAAGGAUGAAGGUCCUAUGGAUUGUAAACUUCUUUUAUAGUAGAAUAAAGUGACCUACGUGUAGGUUUUUGUAUGUAUACUAUGAAUAAGGAUCGGCUAACUCCGUGCCAGCAGCCGCCGUAA
rnacentral:rRNA from 1 species